AAUUUAUUUACCCCCAAAGUCUGAUUUUGGCCGGGGGGUUUGUAGAGGCGCUUGCAAUGAUUGGUUUUUUUUCAAUAUAUAUAAUUUUUUUUAAAGUCCUAAAUUGGUAACGGCUUUUCGAGCGACCUCUACUGGAUAUUCGAGCCAUUGUGGUGUUUUCUAUUUAUCAGCCAAUUGAUCUUUUCUGCUGUUCGUUUUAGCCAUCUUGUCAAAAAGCUUUGGAAUGAUAGCGUUGGUUUGCAAUUUUGGAGGGUUUCUGUGUCGAGGAGACAGAAUUCUUGUCCAUUUGGUUGCCUUCAAGACAUAAGUGAACACCUUUCUGCUUGAGUUGUGAUUACAAGUGCAAUUUCUUUCUUCAAGUGAAACACGGCUUAUUUAAUUUAAAUCCUAUAAAGUUAUAAUUAACAUUUUGGUUGUAAAUACAAUCAUUAAUACAUGAAAUAUACGAUUCGGCAUAUUCAAAUACGUGUUCGCGUACCUUAUUACAAUAAAACACGUAUUCUGUGGUAUUCACUUUUCAUUCCUUAUCUAUUGGUGAUUUGUUGAAAAGAUCCAAAGCAGUCAUGUAAGGAAGAAGCAUAAUAGAAAUUGGGACAAACAUUUGGCGUUUGGUUUUGCUAAGUUGUCAUCAAACACACCGACCAGUUUUAAGCAGCUGUCGUGAUUAUCGCAUCGCUGACGUACCGCUCAGGAAAACAAUAUAAUCCGUCUGUCCGUCGGUAGUAUUUAUAGUGUGUGACUGGAGAAGAAUUCAGAGAAACUGCCAUCUAGAGGAACCCUACACUUUGAGUGAUAUAUUUUCCUUGGCAAGAAAAUAAAUUUUAUUUGGAUUUCACCGUACUAUCCUCAAAAGGGCAUAAAAUUUGCUGCAAAUUUAGUAAAAACCAUUGGUCGGGAUCACCUAAACUGAGCCCGGAGUGAUUUUGUAUUCCUUAAGGUCAAAAAAAGUGCUAAAAACAUCCAAAAAAUUGAGUAAGGAGACAAAAAAAAGUGAAAUUUUUGUAAGCAUGCAUAAGCAUUGCCACUAUUUUUUUGAUAACGUCCUGAACAAAUGAAAAAAAAACCUAAUUUCUUUCCUAAAUAAUUUAAACUUCCA